rnacentral:rRNA from 1 species
UACGUAGGGACCAAGCGUUGUUCGGAUUUACUGGGCGUAAAGGGCGCGUAGGCGGCGCGGUAAGUCACUUGUGAAAUCUCUGAGCUUAACUCAGAACGGCCAAGUGAUACUGCAGUGCUAGAGUGUGGAAGGGGCAAUCGGAAUUCUUGGUGUAGCGGUGAAAUGCGUAGAUAUCAAGAGGAACACCUGAGGUGAAGACGGGUUGCUGGGCCAACACUGACGCUGAUGCGCGAAAGCCAGGGGAGCAAACGGGAUGAGAAACCCCCGUAGUCC